AGGAUGAACGCUGGCGGCGUGCCUAACACAUGCAAGUCGAACGUCCUGUCUCGCAAGAGGCAGGGAGUGGCGGACGGGUGAGUACCACGUGGGUGAUCUACCGUGAGGUGAGGAAUACCGGCGAGAAAUCGCCGACAAGACCGCAUAGCCUCGGUGCAAGCCGAGGAAAGCUCUCUCGAGAGAGGGAGCGCCACACGAGGAGCCUGCGCCCGAUUAGCUAGCUGGUGGAGUAACGGUUCACCAGGGCGACGAUCGGUAGCUGGUCUGAGAGGACGAUCAGCCACACUGGGAUUGAGAACGGCCCAGACUCCUACGGGGGGCAGCAGUGAGGAUUUUCGUCAAUGGGGCAACCCUGAACGAGCAACGCCGCGUGCAGGAGAAGGUUUUCGGAUCGUAAACUGCUUUUCGUCGGGGAAGAGAACGGACGGUACCCGAGGAAUCAGCCCCGGCUAACUACGUGCCAGCAGCCGC
rnacentral:rRNA from 1 species